AGUUUACUAGUUAUUCCUAAUACACGGUACAGCAGUACUGACCAAGUGCAAUAAGAAGGAUUAAGUAUUAUCUUAAAUUAUUAUAUUUAAAAAAAAACAUUCGUUUAAAUUAAUAUUUGUUUGUUUAUUUAUUUUAUUUUUAUUUUAUUGUUUCAUUGUUGAUUUUACUUUGUAACAGUUCGAAAUUUACAGCAAAAGACUCUAUGUUUUUUUUAUUGAUUACGUUUUUUUAAAAUGAUGGUGUGUUGUGCUUCUGUUAAACGUACCUAUUGUAAUUGUUGUUGAUAAUGUACAUGAAAGACAGAAACAAAAUAAGAUACAAUGUAAUUCUAUAAUAUCGUUUGAGCACUAUUAAAAUUAUCGUAUACACUGUAACGGUAUUGUUCUAUUGCAACCCUUGAACGGAAUAUUUAUCACUGGUCUUCAUCAUGGGGACUAUAGCCACCGAAGAGUUUGAUCUCAUGAAGGAUUCAAAAUAUCGAAUGUAUGUAAAUGCUGUUGAUAAAGCACUGAAAAGUUUCGAGUAUACGAGUGAAUGGGCAGACUUAAUAUCAGCAUUAGGGAAACUUAACAAGGUACUCCUAAGUUACACCAGAUACCCAGUGGUCCCGAGAGGCAUAAAGAUCAGCAAACGUUUAGCACAAUGCAUGCAUCACGCUCUGCCGUCCGGGGUUCACUUGAAGGCUCUAGAAACAUAUGACAUCAUAUUCAAGUGUAUGGGCACCAACCGACUGAGCCAAGACCUCUUUAUUUAUAGUGCAGGACUAUUUCCAGUCAUGGGUUACGCGGCCAUGAACGUCAGGCCAGAUCUUUUGAACAUCUACGAAAAUCAUUUUGUACCGUUGGGCGAAAGAUUAAUACCCGGGUUGAACGGUUUUCUCAGUGGAGUUUUACUUGGCCUUGAGGAAGGCUCUGAUUUUUUUGAUAGGACGAAUCGUCUUUUGGACAACGUAUGUGCCGGUGUCGGUGCUCGGAUAUUUUUUAGUCACCUUUGGGAAUGUUUGGCUAACAAUCUGGCCGUCCGACUCCCAGCAAUAUUAUAUGUAUUAUCUCGAUUUGACCGAAAGUUACUAAUAGAAAACCAAAGUCACAUCAUGGGCACUAACGUUGACACGAUGGUGACAGCCAUAUGUGCUUGUGUACAAGAUUCCAUGGUUCUAGUACAAAGAAGUGGAUUAGAUUUGUUGUUAGUUGGGUUUCCAAUGCAUAAUACACAAUUGUCUAGAAGCGAUAUGAUUCGUCUUGUCACAGCAUCUUUAGUAACUAUACUUCGUAGAGAUAUGUCCUUAAAUAGGCGGUUGUAUGCGUGGCUUCUUGGAAACGAAGUUAAUUUAACUCUAUUGAGUCCAGAGCAUCCAUUGGUAGUAUUAAGAAAAGCACGACAGUUCACUACUAUAAAAUAUUUUGAAAUGUAUUCCAGAGACUUACUUGUACAGGCUAUUAAAAUCAAACUUCAUGAAGCUACGGGCAAUCAACCUCACGAUCUACGUCCAUACAGACUACUGAUAUCCUUGUUAGAUAAAACUGAAAUUGGUCCUGUAAUUCUAGACGAUAUAUUAUACGAGGUGUUUAGACUUCUAUAUUUAUGUUGUCAAAAAGAUACUAAAAUUGACAAAUCGUCAGAGCUAAUCAAAUCAGCAAAUUUAUUAUUUAGCUCUUUAGAACCGAAAUAUUUAUGGGAAUAUACGGGAAAUAUGUUUUCUAAUGCGUGUCAGUCGCUGACUAAAGACGAGGAAUGUGAAGGCUCGUUGGGUACCGUCAAACCAGUCGGUAGCGGUGACUUAACCCUGAUUGAAAUUUGUUCGUUAACAGAUUUCUUACUAGAUGCUAUCUCGUUUGAAACGUUUACCGAAACUCCUAGUGAACACUUGCUCGAACUAUUCAUCCAUAUAGCGAGUACGUUGACGGACCAUUGUGAUAUGUUGACUGCGGAUCAGGCUAGCACAUCGUUAAUGCUGUUCUUGAAAAUACUCUCUAAAGUCCAACCGACUUUGUUACCUCAGACAGACUUAGGGUACAGUUCAAUGGAUCAAACUAUUGAACCACCAAAGAAAGCCACUGAGCCCGGGAAAAUUGUUCAGUUAAACGUGGAAGUGCCAAAAAUAAGUGGAGUCAAACGAGCGCCAUCUCCAAAAUCUAGGACUGCGUCAGACACUUCAAGUCUCCAAUCGGAAUCAACAAUCGUAGCAGACACCCCUUCUUUAGAUUUGCAUUCAGACACCACUAGUGGAGUAUUUGAUGGUGAUUCGAUUAAUUCUGCUAUGAUGGUACAACAUUUUAAUCAUAAGGAACAACAAAGUAUUUACAAAUCAUGCGUCAAACAAUAUGAGAAAUUUUUCGUCACAUUCGUCUAUGGUGUACGAGCAAACAUUGGUGAAACUAAAGGUUUAUCAGUAUUAAUGGAUGCAUUAAAAGUGAAGUCCCCCCAAGCAACCGCCGAAGAUAGAGCAAGGCAAUUAGAAGAACUUUUAAAAACUGUACUUAACACCCAAAAACAAUCAGUUGACGAAAACUAUGAAUACGAAGGUGCCGAUGAACUAUCACCUUUAACUAUUUUAAAUAAUAAGCGCAGUGCUGGCCUUGAAUGGACGAAACCUGUAAUGUUGGCUUGUCGGGUGCUUGUUGAUAUAUCAACGUUUCAAGCAAUUCCUCUUUCCGACUCCACUCCGUCACUAAUCAGUAACAUUGAUAUGAAAGAUUUGGACAACAAUGUACUUCCUGAAUGGUUAAAAUUAAUCAUUGUGUGUUGCUGUUGGUUGGGAAAUACAGCUCCUUCUCUACAAUUAGUUACUAUUGGCACUCUAGUGGAUAUAGUGGCUCUUUGUCGUAGUUCGCAACUGCGUUCUACAUCAAACGAAUCGAGAAACGGCGUAGUUUCAUUAGUUCUAUUGCCAUUGUUGAAACCUGUACAACUGUAUUACAUUGAAAAUCACACAAAUGUUUUUCACGUUAUUGCCCAUUGGCUUUGGUUUCAUUUAGCAAAUCCACUGUAUCAAGUCCGUUGCGUUGAAUUGCUUUACCUAUUACAGAGCUCUUUACAUUCUAGUGAUAUUGUUGAAAACUGUAUAGGUGAAGAGUUAACAUCCAGAAAGGCUUCGGAUUUUCAUAAAUUGAAUUCGUUUAGGAAGUUUUCUCUUUUGUGGCAUGUUGGUCGAGAAUUGGCAGCAAAUUCUCAAAAUGUUAGCGAUAUGUUUUAUAAGUCAAUGUUAAAAAUGUUAGAUAACUUGGAAUUGGGUGAAAGAAAUGCAAUAAAAGUAGAAGCAGAAAGCUGGCUUUUACAUUCGCUUUACAGAGGCGACAUUGGCCGUCUGGUAGACCCUCUUAUAUUAUUACUACUCGACCCCUGUACAGCAAGAUUAAGUGUUCUUCAUGCUAAAGUUACUCCAACACAAUGUAACGAAGCACAGGAUCAUUCCGAUACCAAUUCCACCGACCCAUCCGCCAAAAUAUAUGCCAUUAGUUCAGUUGAUGGAAACACUAUGUAUCAUGUUGCUGAUAAAUGCAAACAAGCAACAACUGUGGCUCCUAAUCGAAGUAAACGUGUUUUCGCUAUAACAACUUUAGCUGAUCAAGAUUCAUCUAAUCUCUUCAAUCGUUAUGUAACUGUCAAAAAAUGUCAAAUGAUGACACGGUACGAACCAUCAGUAGCAGAAAUGUCAGAGUCUCAUCAUAAAAACAUGUCUCUACUUCAAAAUAUUUCUGUUUUUGUCAAUCCAUUUUCUGUGGAUCCUAAUGUAACCAAUAGCAAUGAGUUUGAUGAAGAUUUUUCCGAAGAAAAAAAAGAGAGUACCCAGUACACAUUAGAAAUGUUGAAUAAAAUAAAACGAUUUAAAUCAAACGUUCAAAACACUGUACGUCGCUCGCCUAAGAGAAAACCUGAAAGUAAAAAUGUUCAAAAAUCAGUACAACGAACAGGAUCAUAUUCAUCACUUGAUUCGAUAAAAACUAACCCAGUCAUGAACUCAACAACAAUGAUGUCAUCUAUUGAUCUAUUACAUCUGUCGUCAAUAUCCGACACAAUAUUUGCCCGAGUAACUGAUGGCGAAACUUAUCGUAACAAUAUUCGAACAUCAGCCUCGGCGACCGAUAUGAAUGGUCAUUACAAUUUAGAGAAUGAAAGCGAUUUAGUUAGAAGUUAUUCGUUUUGCGGAAAUGAACAAAUUAAAAUAGACACAGACGAAUCAACACCAGCCGAUGAAUAUUUUGACCCUUCUAAAUCUGACGAAAUGUCUGUUAUACGGGACGUACUUAAUAGUGUUUUAGACGCAGUGGUCGAUGAAACCAUUGUUCCUUUGAAUGACGAAGAAGAAGAUGAUUUGACUGAAGUCUCGGAAUCAAUCAAGGAAGAUAUUUCUAUAGCGCCCCCAGAGUAUAAUAUCGAUGGAAAUGUAAGAAAUAUACAUUCUCAUUUGUUGUUAUAUUGUGGAGUGUACGACGUCCAAAGGACAUUGUACGCUUUUUGUACAUUGACAAAUAUGUUGAAAACAAACGCUCGUGCACUUUUGUGUGCAGCCGCUACAACUUCUGUUCCAGUGAAAUCUCAAAUACUGAACCUUCUUUCUAGACACAGAAAGUCAAUGUUUGGCAGAGGUUUUCACGGAGAAAUCGAUAUGACUGGAAUACCCUAUAAUCGAGGAAACAGCAUGUACCUAGAGUUGCUUAUAUCAAUGUGCCUUUAUUACAUAAGAAGUUACUAUCCUAAUUUGGGUCAGUCGAAAAUUACGCAAGAAGACAUUGCCGGCAAUCGUCAAGUUCAAAUGUCCAGUGUAGAACUAUUAAGUCUGAUAUGUUUGGAAUUAAGUGGCAUCGUAAGGGACAGCGGCCGCGGCCUGGCUUGUUAUUUGGCGGAAUUGCUCGCUCGAUGUAAGGCCCAAAAAGUGGCUUUGCACUGUUUGCUGAGUAGUGUACUAGAAAAUUCAGGUCCGGAAAUCAAAGCAACCAGCUUUACAGCUGAAAUAUUAUCAUUCAAUAAUCACGAUCCUACUGACCAAGGAGCUAUUGAGGGUAGGAUGAACCGUGAAUCCGAAGCGUUCCAAGCUUUGUUACUGCAACUUUUGCUAUCGUUAAUAAUAUUAGAGCACGAAGUAGACAACAGCCGGCAUCGAGGUAACAAUGUGUUGUCCGAUACUCACACAGAUAUAUCUGCUGAUAAUGUCGAAGGAACCGACGUACGAUACUUAUCUGGUAGACCGAUUCCUAUGCAACCCAUGUUUGUAACCGCACUAGUUGCUGCUUUACACCCAUCUGCUCGUAUGAGACAUUCCCACAUCAACUGGACAACACUUGUGACGUCUGCAUUACCAUAUCUGGGGCCAGCUUUAGUUAAUGUCGUUACUGUUACUGUACGUCAAUUGUGCGCAAAUAUUGAAACUCUAGCUGACGUCUACGCUGACAGUAGCAAAAAUGUUAAUUUGAGAUUACCAGCAGAUUAUGCGAUAACACAACUAGAAGCACUUACUAUUCUAUGUCAUUUUUGUCUACUUGAUACCGGACAACCGUUUAAUAAUCCAUUAGAUCAAAACUCUGGUGCAAAUUCAAAUACCCCAGCUCAACUUUUCAACAAUCUCGUUCAUGUAUUUAUACCCUCUCCUCUUUUAACCCUACAAGAUCAAUCGUUAAAUGACGAAAGUGAACCACAAUUGGGAGUCAGGCGAUCUCUGUUGGCCAGCUUACCGAGAAUAGUAGCAAGUGUCUCAUUAUUGUGGAGAGCUUUGUGUACCGGUAAACAGAGUGAAAACAAUGUAGCCGGAUGUCCUAGGUUAGUAAAAGGUCAGCUAUUAGAAUUAUUAAGCCCAAUAGCGGAACACCACGGAAACAGCUUUUUGACUGCAUUCUCAAUUGUGUGGAAAGAAAGACGAUCACGUUCAUCCGUUAUGUCUCCAUCGAUUAUUCCCGAAGCAACUGAAAUGCAGUUAAUACUAGUUCAGUUGUUAAGCUCUAUAAAAUCUAUGCCGCUAGAUUCUCUCAUACAAACUAUUCAUCAAGUUGUUAAACAACCGUCUCUCAGUCAAGCGGGUCAGCAAGAUACUCAGAUUAGUAUUGAAGUCAGUGUAUUAGAACUAUUUAUUCAUUACGUACAACUUGCUCCCUGUCACUAUUUGGCUGAAACGUGGCCUUCACUUCUUGGACUACUGAAAGAAGGGUUAACACUGUCGCCACCUUCUCAGUUUAUGUUGUUGUCCGUAUUAAGUCAAUUUGUACACAGAGCUCCUGCUCCGUUGGUCGAACGUAAAGAUCAAAAAGAACUCCAAGAUAUCACGGCAAAGAUGGUCGAAAGUUGUUCACAAAUAGCAGGUGCUUGUUUGGAACAAAGUUCGUGGUUACGAAGAAAUGUGUCUGUGAGGGAAGACGAAUUAUCUACGGCUAUAACUGAAAAAGAUAUAGACAAAGUUGGAAGUGGUAGUGGAACUAACGCCCAGUAUAGUAUACCAGCCCAAAAUGUUCUCGCACAACUCCUCGCCCCUCUUUUAGAUAUAACAUUUGGUAAUCAAGAAAAAGAGAGAGUGUGUACUAUACUUACAAUGGUAAUGUACAAUGUAACGCCUUACUUAAGGAACCAUACAAAUAAAAAUAUGCCAAGUUUCUUUGCUUGUUCUCAAAUUUUGGCCAGUAUAAGUACCUAUCAGUAUACACGUAAAGCUUGGAAAAAAGACGCAAUGGAGUUACUUCUUGAUUCUACAUUGUUCCAAAUGGAAGACCGCAGCUUACAGUAUUGGAAAGUUAUUAUUGAUAAUUUAAUGUCGCAAGAUACAACGACGUUCAGAGAUUUUAUGGGUCGAGUGAAUAUGAGUCAAGCAAACUCGUUGAAUUUGUUUUCCAAUAGAGAACAAGAAUACGAACAGCGAGCCCAAUUAUUAAAGCGGUUAGCGUUUGUUUUACUGUGUAGUGAAAAAGAUCAAUUCCAUAAACAUGUUCCUGAAAUACAAGAAAGACUCGUUGACACGCUUCGAAUGCCGAAUUCGGGCCCGGGUAUCCACGCUCAAGUGUUCCUAUGCUUCAGGGUUUUAUUGUUACGGAUGUCCGGCCAUCACAUAACUUCCAUGUGGCCAAUUAUUGUUAGUGAAAUGGUUCAAGUCAUGAUUCACAUUGAGCACAACUUGAGUACGGACACAGAAGAGUUCAGGAGAAAUACCAGCAGUGAAGAAUUGAAUAUGGCCGAGACUUCUCCUAAAGUGAUUACAUCAUCAAGGAGGCGGAAAAAAUGGAAUCAACGAAACAAAUAUAAUUUACAAGCUGCGGAAAAUAAACAGAGUUCAGCAAAUUCUAGAAAAUCUACUGUCAUUGCCAACCAUUCGAUAGAAAAUUCUCAUAUACGGCUAUUGUCGGGUCUCGAUUGGACAUGGGUUGUGAAUAGUAACAACGGCCUUCAUGCUACCGGUAAUCCUCAAUGGUUACAGCUACAGUUGGCUGCAGUAAAGCUCCUUAGCGUCGCCAUUCAACUUCCCGCCGAUAUUCUACCUCAAUUUCAAAUGUACAAAUGGGCUUUUGUCGGGCGACCGGAAUUCACACCAAACGAGCAAAAUUCAGUAGAAUUUGUUCCCCACGUAAUGAGGAUAGCCAGGAUAAUGGAUUCGAAGUACGGAAGUCCAAUAGAAGCAUAUCCUGAUACAUUAUUGCCGACCGGUUCGUCAGCACGUUCGCUGCAAGACCUGCAUCCGUUCUUUUCAGCCUUGAGCACCGGUGAACCCCACCCGUCCUUAAACAGUACCAUUAGUCAACUAGAGCACGAGCUAGAGUUGGAUUUCCUAGAGCCAAUACCGUCCAGAUAGGCAAAUGUAAAAGACAGCCUGUACCUACGACAAACUGUGAUGAUGUUGUACAUAGUUGGUGAUACGAUCAUUCCGUUUUAAUUAGUGAAAUGAAUACGCAUUAAAAAUGCCUACUGCAAUCCAUAACAUUAUAAUAUAUAUAUAUAUAUAUUUUUUUUUUUAACACUACUUAGUAAAUUAUUGUUGAAAAAUACACUUGCUUCGAGCACAUGAAACAUUAACUUAUUAAAUUCUAUGUUACCUGUUAAUGUUGUUAAGUUUAUCAUGUUUAGGACCUCGAUUAGUUUGUAUGUAUUGUCAAUUGUCAUUUAUAAUCGUUUAAACUGAUAAUAUAUCAAUAUAUGUUAAAAAGUUCUAAAUGGUUAUAUUUAUAAAUAAUAAUAUGGCUUUCUAUCAA